GAACCGGCCCCCAGAAGUCAGCCGGGCUGGCCGCCGCCACUUUCGGGGCCGGGAUAACCCUGAACUAGGCGGAGCCACACGCGCGCGCUCCUGCCUUCUUUCCUUUCUUUGCUUUUCCCUUUUCUCUUUUCUUUUCUUUAUUCUUUCUUUGAUUCUUUGAUCCUUCCUUCCCCUUUCUCCCCCCCCCCCCCCCCAGUCUGCUCAUUUGGAAAUCACACAAAUUGAGAACUUUCUAGGAAGGUUCCUUUAAGAUUCUUGAAGAACCAAAGAAACCUGUUUUGGUUUUGUUUGUUUUAAAGGCCAAGAGACUCCAGACUGUCUUCAUUUUCUUAGGGCAUUUUCUCUCCCACUCCCAACCCCUUAAGUUAUUGUUAACACUUUACUUUAAAAUGAGCAACGUUCUAUGUUCCAACACCAGAUGUUCCCAGUUCCUGAGCAAACCAACAAAAAUAGGCAGGCAUUUUCUGAUGAUGCAACAAAGAGGCCAGCAACCUGCUUACUUCAGAGAAAACCUUUCCUUCCAUCACUGCAAAUGAUGAAAUUAUUUCUCUGCCAGAUGUUUCCUACAUUUCUAAACUGUUUAAUUUUAAGAUUUAGUUUUAAAUUCUGAUUUAAUCUUCACAGAUGUGAGAACUUAAAACUUCUCAGCAAGGAUGAAUCAGUAUCUAUAGUAGUUCAAGAAGUAGUUAAUUAGGAAUCCAUUGAUUCAUUUAUUCAACAAAUAUUUAAUCAAUGCCAACUGUGUACCAAGCACCAUUUUAGGAUUCAGAGGCAAAUUAGCCUGAUAAGGGCCCUGUCUGCCUUCACAGGGCUUUCACGGGAAGAAAGGGAGACAGAGAUUAAACAAGUAAAUGAAAAGUAUCAGACACAAAGGCCACAAUGAAAAUAACAGUGAUGUGAUAGUAACUGGGGACUAUUUCAGGUUAGGUGGUUAAAAGAGGCCUCUCCAAGGAGGUGCUGGUUAAGUGAAGAGAGAGGGUGAGGAGCCAGACAUGAAAAGAUGUGAAGCCCAUUACAGUUGGAGUGAAGAGAGCCAGAUGGUCUGAAAUUCUGAAGUAAAGAUAACCUUCGCUUCCCAUGAACAGUUGGUACUGGACGAGUAAACCCCAUCUCUCCCCAGAGGCAGGAGUUUAUGAAGAAGCACAAAGAGGAUCAGGUUGGAGUCUGAAAGCCUGGGUUCUUGCUUUAGCCAUUCCCCUAACGGAAAGUUUGUGAUUUCAGACAGCACCUUUAACCUCCUGCUUCAUUUAUUCAUUGUAGAACAGAAGACAACUUCUCAAACUAGUAACAUGUCUUAAUCAAGUCCAGCAGUGUUGAGUGGAUGUGGACCAAAGAAGACGGAAAUCCUGGUUCUCACAGAGGUGGAGUGUCACGCAAUCUCACGUUCCGCGCGCUCCUGUCGUCUGUUUAAGCGCAGCCGCACCGUGGACCGCACGCCGGAUGACCAAGGCCACAUUCCCGGACCCCUGAGGCGCCGGGACACUCACGACGUGAUGCGGCACUGUGCCGGGGCGAGAGCCCGUGCGCCCCGCGCCCCCCUGCCCUGACGACCCCCGCCCUCGGCCACGGUGCUCGCAGACUGGCCCGCAGGGUUCGAAGCGCAUCCUCUUCUCGCGCUGAGCUGCCACCUGCAGCCCCACAGCCCCUGCGGCGAGUGUUCCUACUUUUAGCGGCUCUUGGCCGCGAGAAGCGCCUCAGGUGUGUGGUCUGUGCUCCCGGACGGGGUGCGCGCGCUCCCCGUCAGUCCCCACCGGGCGCCUGGAGAACAUUUACUCCUGUUCGUGUGUGUCCAGAGCCGCGCCUCGGCCACGUACUGAUUUCCGUGGCGGCCGUGAAGACGGUCCGUGCGGAAGGGCGCAGGGAGGUCGUGACCCCCGGACGACCCCGAGCUCCAUCCGGGUUCCCCGCGGCCCCUCCCGCCGCGCACCCCGGCCCCACCUGGCGGCGUCGGUCCGCAGGCGGGCGUCUGAGGAGCGAGCGCAGCUGAGGCCUGGCGGCGUCGGUCCGCAGGCGGGCGUCUGAGGAGCGAGCGCAGCUGAGGCCUGGCGGCGAGCCUUCCCGUCCCCGCGGCACGUGCGGUGCGGACACGUGCCGGGCGCCCCGGAGCCUGCAGGUGGCCGUCCUUCUGGUGUCCCCCCGUCUGUGUGCGGGCCUCGUGUCCACAUUUCACCCGGGAAGCUGCUGAGCCUUCCAGCCGACAGCUUCGCGGUGACGGAACAAUCUGUUAGAAAAUUCAGUCAGCGAACAACGCGCGUGCGGCGUUAAUGCUCUCCCGGUUUCCUUCAGUACCCAGACGGCACGGACCUAGUUCCGGCUCACACACUGCGUUCACACGGCAAGUCUGACUCGUCCCUUUUGAUCUGGAACAGUCUUCACGGGGGCAUUGGCAUUUUGAUGGCAUGGGUCAGGUAUUUCUGUGGAACGGCCCUCAGUCUGGGUUUGUCUGGCAUGUCUUCAUCAUGAGGUAGAAGUUCUACGUGCCGGCUAGGAGAACCACAAACAGGAUGUCAUGCCCUCCUCCGUGGAUGGUGUCCAGAGGCCUGUGAUGUGACCGCAUCUGUGAUGGAAUCUCCCGUGACUUCCCUGAAAUUGCCCUGACUUCAGUCUUCGACUCCACAGGCCAUAAACACCAUAGACCACCGGGGAACUUACCCAUCCUACUUGCUAGCUACUGUGUCCUGUCCACAAAUAAGAGCUAUUAAAGGCAAAACUUGGCCCAUGUGGGCCUCUUCUUCCAAGUUUUCUCUCAAGAAAUUCCGACUAAAGUGUUCAUUCACUCUCAGUGCCUCUGUGUAUGUUUUGUAUUGUGCCAGAGUUAAUCAUUGUUACACAUGGCAAGUUUGAAGCGUACAGAAUUUAAUCGGUGAUAUAGAAGGAGGCAUUUCAUAGUUGAACUGGGAAAAGCCAAAGACAAGCAGAUGACCUUGAAGGAAGCCAGUGGAACAUGGCGCAUUAUUCAUAGGGAAACGGCUGUUCAAUGAAGGGAGGAUUCUUCCCUUGGGGGAGCCAGAGAACAGUGGCGCAUCUGAAUCUUACCAAAUCGGGAUUUUGAGUCAUAGUUAUGUGUAAGGAGAGUUAACCCUUCUUAGUACUUGUAUGAUUUUAUGUCUAUAUAUCUGGUUGUGUAUGGUGUGAGAGAUGGAUUCCCUUCUACCUUCCGUCUAUCUAUCCACUCACCCCAGCAACAUCUAUUAAAAACUCCACUGUUUCCCAGGCUUGCUACCACAUUCAUCACAGAUUCACUUUCCAUGUGUAUUUGGGCCUCUGUCCAGACUUGCUAUUCUAUUCCAAUAAUAUAUUCACUUAUUCAUAUAUGAGUUCCAUACUGUUUUAAUUAUAGAGGAUUUAUGAUAUAUUUUAAUAUAUUGUCCAGCUAGUCCCUUUUCUUAGCUUUUCUCUUCUGUAUUUUCUAGCUAUUCUUGUAUGCUUAUUUUUCCAUAUA